GAUGAACGCUGGCGGCGUGCCUAAUACAUGCAAGUCGAGCGAACAGACGAGGAGCUUGCGCCUUUGACUUUGGCGGCGGACGGGUGCGUACCACGUAGGUAACCUACCUCUAAGACUGGGGUACCUUCGGGAAACCGUAUCUACUACCGGAUAAUAUUUCGCACCGCAUGGUUCGAUAGUGAAAGAUGGCUUUGCUAUCGCUUAUAGAUGGACCUGCACCGUAUUAGCUAGUUGGGAAGGUAACGGCUUACCAAGGCAACGAGGGGUAGCCGACCCCAGAGGGUGAUUCCCCAGCUGGGAACAGAGGCACGGUACAGACUCCUACGGGAGGCAGCAGUAGAGAAUCCUACGGGAUGCGGCAAAGCCUGAUGUAGGACCGCCGCGGGAGUGAUGAAGCUGUUAGGAUCGGAAAACGAUGUAGGCAGUGAAGAACUAAAGUGUAAUUAACCGGGAUGGUCUUGACGGUACCUAAAGAGAAAGCCCCGGCUAACUACGUG
rnacentral:rRNA from 1 species